GGUUCGUCCGCUCCAAGUUAGGCGGGAGCUAAGGUGAGGCCGAAAGGCGUAGCCGAUGCACAGACGGUAGAGAUUCCGUCCCCACCGAAAGAUUUAAGCGCAGGGACACUUUUAAAAGGUCAGAGCCGGGUGUUGGUUCCGGUAGUGAUCGAGGGAAAUAUAGUACCGAAGUCUGGCUGGAUGAGAGGCGAGAAAAGCUGCGUGUAUAUCUAAGGUGCCCGUACCGCAA
rnacentral:rRNA from 1 species